rnacentral:rRNA from 1 species
GACGAACGCUGGCGGCGUGCUUAACACAUGCAAGUCGAACGGUAAGGCCCCUUCGGGGGUACACGAGUGGCGAACGGGUGAGUAACACGUGAGCAACCUGCCCUUGACUCCGGGAUAACAGUUGGAAACAGCUGCUAAUACCGGAUACGACCUUCGAUGACAUCAUCUGGAGGUGGAAAGCGCUUUAGCGGUCAAGGAUGGGCUCGCGGCCUAUCAGCUUGUUGGUGAGGUAACGGCUCACCAAGGCUUCGACGGGUAGCCGGCCUGAGAGGGCGACCGGCCACACUGGGACUGAGAUACGGCCCAGACUCCUACGGGAGGCAGCAGUGGGGAAUAUUGCACGAUGGGCGCAAGCCUGAUGCAGCAACGCCGCGUGCGGGAUGACGGCCUUCGGGUUGUAAACCGCUUUCAGUUCCGACGAAGCGCAAGUGACGGUAGGAACAGAAGAAGGACCGGCCAACUACGUGCCAGCAGCCGCGGUGAUACGUAGGGUCCGAGCGUUGUCCGGAAUUAUUGGGCGUAAAGGGCUUGUAGGCGGUUUGUCACGUCGGAAGUGAAAACUCAGGGCUCAACCCUGAGCCUGCUUCCGAUACGGGCAAACUAGAGGGAUGCAGGGGAGAAUGGAAUUCCUGGUGGAGCGGUGGAAUGCGCAGAUAUCAGGAGGAACACCGGUGGCGAAGGCGGUUCUCUGGGCAUUUCCUGACGCUGAGAAGCGAAAGCGUGGGGAGCAAACAGGCUUAGAUACCCUGGUAGUCCACGCCGUAAACGGUGGGCACUAGGUGUGGGGAACAUUCCACGUUCUCCGUGCCGAAGCUAACGCAUUAAGUG